UACGUAGGCAGCAAGCGUUGUUCGGAGUUACUGGGCGUAAAGGGUGCGUAGGCGGUUGCUUAAGUUUGGUGUGAAAUCUCCCGGCUCAACUGGGAGGGUGCGCCGAAUACUGAAUGACUAGAGUGCGGGAGAGGAGAGUGGAAUUCCUGGUGUAGCGGUGAAAUGCGUAGAUAUCAGGAGGAACACCGGUGGUGUAGACGGCUCUCUGGACCGUAACUGACGCUGAGGCACGAAAGCGUGGGUAGCAAACAGG
rnacentral:rRNA from 1 species